rnacentral:piRNA from 1 species
CGUGGAGAGGAACAAUUCUGAGU